rnacentral:rRNA from 1 species
AGAACGAACGCUGGCGGCAGGCCUAAUACAUGCAAGUCGAACGCACUCUUCGGAGUGAGUGGCAGACGGGUGAGUAACGCGUGGGAACCUUCCCAAUGGUACGGAAUAACUCCGGGAAACCGGUGCUAAUACCGUAUAAGCCCCUCGGGGGAAAGAUUUAUCGCCAUUGGAUGGGCCCGCGUCGGAUUAGCUAGUUGGUAAGGUAAUGGCUUACCAAGGCUACGAUCCGUAGCUGGUCUGAGAGGAUGAUCAGCCACACUGGAACUGAGACACGGUCCAGACUCCUACGGGAGGCAGCAGUGGGGAAUAUUGGACAAUGGGCGCAAGCCUGAUCCAGCCAUGCCGCGUGGGUGAAGAGGCCUUGGGUUGUAAAGCCCUUUGUACCGGAAAGAAAGCUUCGGGCUAACGUACCCGGGUCCUGACGGUACGAAGAAUAAGCACCGGCUAACUCGUGCCAGCAGCCGC